GAGUAUUAUUAUUAUUAAAAUUACAUGGCAUAAGUAUCGUUUUUUUAAAUUGUAUGCCGCACAAUCGUGACAGUCACACUGUGACUACUAACCGAACUAAAUUUCCCACAGCACUGAUUGGACAAGCAAUGUCAUGUGAUCAUCUGCAGCCAGUGAUGGCCAA